rnacentral:lncRNA from 1 species
ACAGAGCUGAAGGAAGCAUAGUACUUUCUCAUUUAUUCUUAUUAUUAUUUUUAUUCAAAAAUACCAGGCAGUCAAUCAAAAUUAUAAAAGCACUGACUGGUAUUAUGUAACAGAUUUUAACCAAAAACCUAAGUAUUUGUUAAAUAUUGAUGUAGCAUAUAUGCUGUUCCUAAUACUGCCCUGUUUUUUCCAGCUCUGAUGUUACUUCUGAAAUCUGCAUCUGCUUAUAAUACUGUAUGAAAUUUCUAGGUAUUGUUCCCAAAACUUCGAUGAUGACGGGGACAACUGAGGUGUUUCAUCCACAAGUGAAAUAUUUCAAUUGCCAGAUCUCUGUAUUUUGUUAGUUUUUCCAAUUCUUUAUUGUCAACUCUGGCAUCUCCUGGAAUUGCAAUGUUAAUUAUCCAGUCAUUUCUUCAUCCUAUUACUACUACUUCUGGUGUGUGAUGUUCAAGGUGUCUAUCAGUUUGGAUUCAGAAAUCCCACAAGAUCUUGACGUCGUCAUUUUCUAACAAUUUCUCUACCUGAUGUUCUCAUGUGUUUUUGGAGACUGGCAAGUUAUAUUUUUGCAUGUUAUUGUUACUGUUGCUGUACAUCAUUUUUACAACAGAAAUGUAUUCUUUCCUUCAUUUCAAAUAGCUGGCUGGGCAGGAAGAAGAGUUUAGGAAGGAUUUAUCGCAAGCCCUUUAGUGCAGAAGGCACUGUUAUUACUGAAUCUCACUCAAAGGGACCAACUUAAACCUUCCUAUAUCAGAUGAAUGAAUCAAUCAAUCCAGAUCUUGUUCACUCAGCUUAAACACUCCAGCUACUACACACCAGGAAUACCUCAGCAAUAGAGAUGUCCAAGUUUAAGACUGGAAAGGCAGCAUAGCCUGACAUGUGCAAACAUGUGCUGACAUGUGUAUCUAAUUAUUUGCCUUUUAUUAUGGCUGCUAUGAAAUGAAGCAUUUCCUGUAUUACUUAUGUCCCAAGAUAUAAACAAUUCUUCAAAAUUAACACUGCAAUCAUGUAUUUUUCCUUUCUAGCAUUGGUGUCUGAAUGGAUAAACCAUUCAGGUCCCUGCUGAAGUGGGUGAGUGGGAUACUACGUAAAACCAAAAUGAUACUUAGGUGUUUUUGACUGCCUCCCUACAGCCAGUAUCACCAUCAGAAUGCUAGCGAUUUUCUCAGGAUUUCCAUUAGCUCCAUUCAGAACCAGACACUUUCAAUAGCCUGUCUACAUUCCAUUUAACCUGCUGAAGCAAUAGCAAGGUUGCAGAAACCUUCACCUGGAGGGUAAUACCUGAUACUAAUC